rnacentral:rRNA from 1 species
GCUUAACACAUGCAAGUCGAACGAUAUAGUGGCAGACGGGUGAGUACGCGUGGAAACGUGCCUUUCACUACGGAAUAGUUCCGGGAAACUGGAAUUAAUACCGUAUACGCCCUCCGGGGGAAAGAUUUAUCGGUGAAAGAUCGGUCCGCGUUAGAUUAGAUAGUUGGUGGGGUAAUGGCCUACCAAGUCUACGAUCUAUAGCUGGUCUGAGAGGAUGAUCAGCCACACUGGGACUGAGACACGGCCCAGACUCCUACGGGAGGCAGCAGUGGGGAAUCUUGCACAAUGGGCGAAAGCCUGAUGCAGCCAUGCCGCGUGAAUGAUGAAGGCCUUAGGGUUGUAAAAUUCUUUCGCUAGGGAUGAUAAUGACGGUACCUAGUAAAGAAGCCCCGGCUAACUUCGUGCAGCAGCCCGGUAUACGAAGGGGGCUAGCGUUGUUCGGAAUUCUGGCGUAAAGCGCGCGUAGCGGACUACCAGUUGAUGUGAAUCCAGGCUCAC